rnacentral:rRNA from 1 species
UGGCAGCAGUGAGGAAUAUUGCGCAAUGGGCGAAAGCCUGACGCAGCGACGCCGCGUGAGGGAAGAAGGCCUUCGGGUUGUAAACCUCUUUUUUAUGGGAAAAAGCUGUGUGUAAACAUGGUGAUGGUACUAUAAGAAUAAGCCACGGCUAACUCUGUGCCAGCAGCCGCGGUAAUACAGAGGUGGCGAGCGUUGUUCGGAAUUACUGGGCUUAAAGGGCGAGUAGGCGUCUAAGCAAGUCAGAUGUGGAAUGUCUUAGCUUAACUAGGGAAUGGCAUUUGAAACUACUUAGAUAGAGUGCAGUUAAGGGGGGCAGAAUUUCUGGUGUAGCGGUGAAAUGCGUAGAUAUCAGGAGGAAGGCCGGUGACGAAGGUGGCCCUCUGGGCUGUAACUGACGCUGAGGCGCGAAAGCGUGGGGAGCAAACAGGAUUAGAUACCCUGGUAGUCCACGCAGUAAACGGUGGGCAUUAGGUGUAGAUGUCGAUAGGUAUCUGUGCCGUAGGGAAACCGGUAAAUGCCCCGCCUGGGGAGUACGGCCGCAAGGUUAAAACUUAAAGGAAUUGACGG